rnacentral:rRNA from 1 species
UUGAUCCUUAUGUUUGUCUCAAGGAUUAAGCCAUAAGUAUGAACUAAUUCAAACGCUGAAACUGUGAAUAGCUCAUUAAAUAUGUUAUAUUUUGUUUGAUGGUACUUACUACUCGGAUAACCGUAGUAAUUUUAGAGAUAAUACAUGAAACAAACCCCAACUUCCGAGAGGGACACAUUUAUUAGAUAAAAGGUCGACUCGGGCUCUGCUCGCUGAUCCGAUGAUUCAUGAUAAUUUGACGGAUCGCACGACCUUCAUGCCGACGACGCAUCAUUCAAACUUCUACCCUAUCAACUUUCGAUGGUAGGAUAGGGGCCUACCAUGGUGGUGACGAAUGACGAAGAAUUAGGGUUCGAUUCCAGAGAGGGAGUCUAAGAAACGGCUAUGACAUCUAAGAAAGGCAGCAGACACAUAAAUUACCCAAUCCUAAGGAAGAGAGGUAGUGACAAUUAAUAACAAUACUGGUCGUCGCGUUAGUGUCUGGUAAUUAGAAUUGUGCCAGUAGUCGCGAUAAUUCUAGCUCCAAUAGUGUAUAUUUAAGUUGUUGCAGUUAAAAAGCUCGUAGUUGGACCUGCUCGACCCGUCUGCCGACGAUGUGCUCCUGGCCUUAACUGGUCAGGUCGUGCCUCCGGCGCUGCUACUUUGAAAAAAUUAUAGUGCUCAAAGCAAGUCAUCGCUCUGUAUACAUUAGUAUGGGAUAACAUCAUAGGAUUUCGAUCCUAUUGUGUUGGCCUUCAGGAUCGUAGUAAUGAUCAAUAGGGACAGCCGAGGGCAUUCGUAUUUCAUAGUCAGAGAUAAAAUUCUUAGAUUUAUGAAAGACGAACAACUGCGAAAGAUUUUGCCAAGGAUGUUUACAUUAAUUAAGAAUGAAAGUUAGGGGCUUGAAGAUGAUCAAAUAUGGUACUAGUCUCAACCAUAAAUGAUGCCGACCAGGGAUCAGCGGGUGGUACUAAUAGAACCUAGUUGACACCUUAUGAGAAAUCAAAGUCAAGUUCAAACAACACUAUAGGCGCUAGCUUAAAAUCAAGUCGCACUUUUGUGAAUAUGUCAAGAAAAACGACUGAACUGACUACAGAGCCAAUUCAAGAAUAUACCAUAAGAGAGCAACAGAAGAUGAUAACAUGAAAAUAGCAUUUGAGUAUUAGGCGGGAAGCUUACAAUACGACAACAUAUGCUAACUGUGGAACAUCUUCAUCUUCUACUAGUCUGUCAUAAAGCUUAUUGAGCCAUACUGACACAACCACUAGUGCUCCACCCAUCGACGUCCUGAAAUGCAAACUGAUAGUGAGUACAAUCCGGCCGAUAGAAGAUAAGGUUGCUUAACACAAAUACUAUCAGUGAGACACAUAACAUUACCUAUGUACAACUAGUGUCACGAUAUAAC